GGUAUCGCGCGUAGAGUGUAAGGCAGAAGGAAGCUUCACUGCGACACCGACGGGUGGAGCAGGGACGAAAGUCCGACUUAGUGAUCCGGCGGUGCUGCGUGGCAGGGCCGUCGCUCAACGGAUAAAAGCUACCCCGGGGAUAACAGGCUUAUCUCCCCCAAGAGUCCACAUCGACGGGGAGGUUUGGCACCUCGAUGUCGGCUCAUCGCAUCCUGGGGCUGUAUUAGGUCCCAAGGGUUUGGCUGUUCGCCAAUUAAAGCGGUACGUGAGCUGGGUUCAGCAACGUCGUGAGACAGUUCGGUCCCUAUCUGUCAUGGGCGUAGAAAAUUGAAGAGAGCUGUCCCUAGUACGAGAGGACCGGGAUGGACAGACCUCUGGUGUACCAGUUGUCCUGCCAAGGGCACUGCUGGGUAGCUAUGUCUGGACGGGAUAAGCGCUGAAAGCAUCUAAGCGCGAAGCCCCCUCUAAGAUAAGUUUUCCCGCUCGGUUAACGAGGUAAGACCCCAGAGAGAUGAUCUGGUUGAUAGGCCGGAGGUGUAAUGGCAGCAAUGUCUUAAGCUGACCGGUACUAAUAGGUCGAGGGCUUGACCUA
rnacentral:ncRNA from 1 species